UACGGAGGGUGCGAGCGUUGUCCGGAUUUAUUGGGCGUAAAGCGUGCGUAGGCGGCUUAGUAAGUCGAAUGUGAAAUCCCUGGGCUCAACCCAGGACGUGCAUUCGAUACUGUUAAGCUUGAAUCUCGGAGAGGGUGGUGGAAUUCCCAGUGUAGAGGUGAAAUUCGUAGAUAUUGGGAGGAACAUCAGUGGCGAAGGCGACCACCUGGACGAAGAUUGACGCUGAGGCACGAAAGCGUGGGUAGCAAACAGG
rnacentral:rRNA from 1 species